rnacentral:sRNA from 1 species
UUAUAGCGAAAUAUUCUGAAACCCUAGUACUCAAAACGACACAGUAUUGGGACGGAUUAAGAACGGCACUCGACCCAUGUGGUCGAGUGAUUGGUCGAGUGAUAAGCUGGAGUCUUCUACUCUUCCUUGUGCCCGAGACUCUGGUUGAGUGCAGAAUGGAGAAGACUCUGAAGCUAGCAGUCGAGUAUUCUGUCGAGUGGAUGAUGAUGGUGAUACUUGGCCA